rnacentral:rRNA from 1 species
UACGUAGGGGGCAAGCGUUAUCCGGAUUUACUGGGUGUAAAGGGAGCGUAGGCGGUAAUGCAAGUCAGAAGUGAAAGCCCGGGGCUCAACUCCGGGACUGCUUUUGAAACUGUGUUGCUAGAUUGCAGGAGAGGUAAGUGGAAUUCCUAGUGUAGCGGUGAAAUGCGUAGAUAUUAGGAGGAACACCAGUGGCGAAGGCGGCUUGCUGGACAGUAACUGACGUUGAGGCUCGAAAGCGUGGGGAGCAAACAGG